GAUGAACGCUAGCGGCAGGCUUAAUACAUGCAAGUCAAGGGGGUAGCAAUACAACCGGCGCACGGGUGAGUAACGCGUACACAACAUACCAUAUACUGGGGUAUAGCUUCGGGAAACUGGAGAUAAUCCCCCAUAACAUUGCGAGAGGGCAUCUGAUUGCAAUUAAAGUUUCGACGGUAUAUGAUUGGUGUGCGUUUGAUUAGCUUGUUGGUAGGGUAACGGCCUACCAAGGCGACGAUCAAUAGCUGGCGUGAGAGCGCGACCAGCCACAUUGGAACUGAGACACGGUCCAGACUCCUACGGGAGGCAGCAGUAGGGAAUAUUGGACAAUGGGCGAAAGCCUGAUCCAGCCAUGCCGCGUGAUAGAUGAAGGCCCUCUGGGUUGUAAAUAUCUUUUAUCUGGGAAGAAACUCCUCUAUUCUUAGAGGCCUGACGGUACCAGAGGAAUAAGCACCGGCUAACUCCGUGCCAGCAGCCGCGGUAAAGU
rnacentral:rRNA from 1 species